CUGCAGGAGCGGAGCAAUGCCUAAAUCAAAGGAACUUGUUUCUUCAAGCUCAUCUGGCAAUGAUUCUGAUGGUGAAGUCGACAAAAAGUUAAAGAGGAAAAAGCAAGUUGCUCCAGAAAAACCUGUAAAGAAACAAAAGACUGGUGAAACUCCAAGAGCCCUGUCAUCCUCCAAGCAGAGCAGCAGCAGCAGAGAUGAUAACAUGUUUCAGACUGAGAAGAUGAGGUACGUCAGUGUUCGGGACUUUAAAGGCAAAGUUCUAAUUGAUAUUAGAGAAUAUUGGAUGGAUCCAGAAGGUGAAAUGAAACCAGGAAGAAAAGGUAUUUCUUUAAAUCCCGAGCAGUGGAGCCAGCUGAAGGAACAGAUUUCUGACAGCGAUGAUGCAGUAAGAAAACCGUAAAAUCAGAGCCAUAUAAAACCUGUACUGGUCUAGUUGUUUUCAAUCUGUCUUUUUACAUUGGCUUUUAUUUUCUGUUGUUUUUCAAGCUAUUGUAUAUUUGGAUUGCAGAACAAUUUGAAUACUUUUUUUU